rnacentral:misc_RNA from 1 species
GGCGACGAUAUGAAUAAAAAAGUUUUUUGUUUCUUUUCCCAGAUCGGUCCAAGUAUCUGUGCAAGGAGAGCACUUCUAAGCCAAACCAGGAGGAAUACAAUACUUUACGAUUGUCCUGCAGCCACUUUAGCUUAAUCAUUCUGAGGUCUGGGAUACUUCACGUUCUGGAGCAGUAAUUUAUUCAGAUCUUUACUUGAACUACAGCCGAUUGAUUUUCUUGUCCUGGUGUUGGAAACGCGGCUCGGACCUGAGCUCACUUCUAUCUAGACACUGAGACCUGUCAUCUGUUCUAUAAUGAAUCCAGUUGUGAAUUAGAAGAGCCUGAUUGAGUAUCACCAUAAAGACGACUUCUGAUAGAACCCAAUAUCUCAUCAAUCUCUUCAAUGUUUUCGUCAGGUGGUAGAUGGAAACAACUGGAAUUUAGAAAUAGAAUCUGUUUAUCAUAAAAACUACACCCAGCUAACCUGUAGUUGAUGUGCUUAUUUCCCCAGAGCUUGUGCAGUAAUGUCUCCAGGAGGUAGAAGAGGGG